rnacentral:rRNA from 1 species
ACGGGGGGAGCAAGCGUUGUUCGGAUUCAUUGGGCGUAAAGGGCUCGUAGGUGGCUCUGUAAGUCGGAGGUGAAAGACCACGGCUCAACCGUGGAAACGCCUUCGAAACUGUGGAGCUUGAGGCUGGGAGAGGAGAUCGGAAUUCCUGGUGUAGCGGUGAAAUGCGUAGAUAUCAGGAGGAACACCGGUGGCGAAGGCGGCUUUCUGGACAGAUACCGACGCUGAGGCACGAAAGCUAGGGGAGCAAACAGGA